UUAAGCGACUAAGCGUACACGGUGGAUGCCCUGGCAGUCAGAGGCGAUGAAGGACGUGCUAAUCUGCGAUAAGCGUCGGUAAGGUGAUAUGAACCGUUAUAACCGGCGAUUUCCGAAUGGGGAAACCCAGUGUGAUUCGUCACACUAUCAUUAACUGAAUCCAUAGGUUAAUGAGGCGAACCGGGGGAACUGAAACAUCUAAGUACCCCGAGGAAAAGAAAUCAACCGAGAUUCCCCCAGUAGCGGCGAGCGAACGGGGAGCAGCCCAGAGCCUGAAUCAGUGUGUGUGUUAGUGGAAGCGUCUGGAAAGGCGCGCGAUACAGGGUGACAGCCCCGUACACAAAAAUGCACAUGCUGUGAGCUCGAUGAGUAGGGCGGGACACGUGGUAUCCUGUCUGAAUAUGGGGGGACCAUCCUCCAAGGCUAAAUACUCCUGACUGACCGAUAGUGAACCAGUACCGUGAGGGAAAGGCGAAAAGAACCCCGGCGAGGGGAGUGAAAAAGAACCUGAAACCGUGUACGUACAAGCAGUGGGAGCACGCUUAGGCGUGUGACUGCGUACCUUUUGUAUAAUGGGUCAGCGACUUAUAUUCUGUAGCAAGGUUAACCGAAUAGGGGAGCCGAAGGGAAACCGAGUCUUAACUGGGCGUUAAGUUGCAGGGUAUAGACCCGAAACCCGGUGAUCUAGCCAUGGGCAGGUUGAAGGUUGGGUAACACUAACUGGAGGACCGAACCGACUAAUGUUGAAAAAUUAGCGGAUGACUUGUGGCUGGGGGUGAAAGGCCAAUCAAACCGGGAGAUAGCUGGUUCUCCCCGAAAGCUAUUUAGGUAGCGCCUCGUGAAUUCAUCUCCGGGGGUAGAGCACUGUUUCGGCAAGGGGGUCAUCCCGACUUACCAACCCGAUGCAAACUGCGAAUACCGGAGAAUGUUAUCACGGGAGACACACGGCGGGUGCUAACGUCCGUCGUGAAGAGGGAAACAACCCAGACCGCCAGCUAAGGUCCCAAAGUCAUGGUUAAGUGGGAAACGAUGUGGGAAGGCCCAGACAGCCAGGAUGUUGGCUUAGAAGCAGCCAUCAUUUAAAGAAAGCGUAAUAGCUCACUGGUCGAGUCGGCCUGCGCGGAAGAUGUAACGGGGCUAAACCAUGCACCGAAGCUGCGGCAGCGACACUAUGUGUUGUUGGGUAGGGGAGCGUUCUGUAAGCCUGCGAAGGUGUGCUGUGAGGCAUGCUGGAGGUAUCAGAAGUGCGAAUGCUGACAUAAGUAACGAUAAAGCGGGUGAAAAGCCCGCUCGCCGGAAGACCAAGGGUUCCUGUCCAACGUUAAUCGGGGCAGGGUGAGUCGACCCCUAAGGCGAGGCCGAAAGGCGUAGUCGAUGGGAAACAGGUUAAUAUUCCUGUACUUGGUGUUACUGCGAAGGGGGGACGGAGAAGGCUAUGUUGGCCGGGCGACGGUUGUCCCGGUUUAAGCGUGUAGGCUGGUUUUCCAGGCAAAUCCGGAAAAUCAAGGCUGAGGCGUGAUGACGAGGCACUACGGUGCUGAAGCAACAAAUGCCCUGCUUCCAGGAAAAGCCUCUAAGCAUCAGGUAACAUCAAAUCGUACCCCAAACCGACACAGGUGGUCAGGUAGAGAAUACCAAGGCGCUUGAGAGAACUCGGGUGAAGGAACUAGGCAAAAUGGUGCCGUAACUUCGGGAGAAGGCACGCUGAUAUGUAGGUGAAGUCCCUCGCGGAUGGAGCUGAAAUCAGUCGAAGAUACCAGCUGGCUGCAACUGUUUAUUAAAAACACAGCACUGUGCAAACACGAAAGUGGACGUAUACGGUGUGACGCCUGCCCGGUGCCGGAAGGUUAAUUGAUGGGGUCAGCGCAAGCGAAGCUCUUGAUCGAAGCCCCGGUAAACGGCGGCCGUAACUAUAACGGUCCUAAGGUAGCGAAAUUCCUUGUCGGGUAAGUUCCGACCUGCACGAAUGGCGUAAUGAUGGCCAGGCUGUCUCCACCCGAGACUCAGUGAAAUUGAACUCGCUGUGAAGAUGCAGUGUACCCGCGGCAAGACGGAAAGACCCCGUGAACCUUUACUAUAGCUUGACACUGAACAUUGAGCCUUGAUGUGUAGGAUAGGUGGGAGGCUUUGAAGUGUGGACGCCAGUCUGCAUGGAGCCGACCUUGAAAUACCACCCUUUAAUGUUUGAUGUUCUAACGUUGACCCGUAAUCCGGGUUGCGGACAGUGUCUGGUGGGUAGUUUGACUGGGGCGGUCUCCUCCUAAAGAGUAACGGAGGAGCACGAAGGUUGGCUAAUCCUGGUCGGACAUCAGGAGGUUAGUGCAAUGGCAUAAGCCAGCUUGACUGCGAGCGUGACGGCGCGAGCAGGUGCGAAAGCAGGUCAUAGUGAUCCGGUGGUUCUGAAUGGAAGGGCCAUCGCUCAACGGAUAAAAGGUACUCCGGGGAUAACAGGCUGAUACCGCCCAAGAGUUCAUAUCGACGGCGGUGUUUGGCACCUCGAUGUCGGCUCAUCACAUCCUGGGGCUGAAGUAGGUCCCAAGGGUAUGGCUGUUCGCCAUUUAAAGUGGUACGCGAGCUGGGUUUAGAACGUCGUGAGACAGUUCGGUCCCUAUCUGCCGUGGGCGCUGGAGAACUGAGGGGGGCUGCUCCUAGUACGAGAGGACCGGAGUGGACGCAUCACUGGUGUUCGGGUUGUCAUGCCAAUGGCACUGCCCGGUAGCUAAAUGCGGAAGAGAUAAGUGCUGAAAGCAUCUAAGCACGAAACUUGCCCCGAGAUGAGUUCUCCCUGACUCCUUGAGAGUCCUGAAGGAACGUUGAAGACGACGACGUUGAUAGGCCGGGUGUGUAAGCGCAGCGAUGCGUUGAGCUAACCGGUACUAAUGAACCGUGAGGCUUAACCUU
rnacentral:rRNA from 1 species